rnacentral:rRNA from 1 species
UACGUAGGGGGGCGAGCGUUUGUCCGGAAUCAUUGGGCGUAAAGCGCGUGUAGGCGGCCCGGUAAGUCCGCUGUAAAAGUCCAGGGCUCAACCCUGGGAAGCGUCGGAUGACUGUCGGCGGCGAGUCCGGAAGAGGCGAGUGGAAUUCCUGGUGUAGCGGUGAAAUGCGCAGAUAUCAGGAGGAACACCAAUGGCGAAGGCAGCUCGCUGGGACGUGACUGACGCUGAGACGCGAAAGCGUGGGGAGCAAACAGG